GACGAACGCUGGCGGCGUGCCUAAUACAUGCAAGUUGAGCGCUGAAGGUUGGUACUUGUACCAACUGGAUGAGCAGCGAACGGGUGAGUAACGCGUGGGGAAUCUGCCUUUGAGCGGGGGACAACAUUUGGAAACGAAUGCUAAUACCGCAUAAAAACUUUAAACACAAGUUUUAAGUUUGAAAGAUGCAAUUGCAUCACUCAAAGAUGAUCCCGCGUUGUAUUAGGUAGUUGGUGAGGUAAAGGCUCACCAAGGCGAUGAUACAUAGCCGACCUGAGAGGGUGAUCGGCCAAAUUGGGACUGAGACACGGCCCAAACCCCUACGGGAAGGAGCAGUAGGGAAUCUUCGGCAAUGGACGAAAGUCUGACCGAGCAAAGCCGCGGGAGUGAAGAAGGGUUUCGGAUCGUAAAACUCUGUUGGUAGAGAAGAACGUUGGUGAGAGUGGAAAGCUCAUCAAGUGACGGUAACUACCCAGAAAGGGACGGCUAACUACGUG
rnacentral:rRNA from 1 species